rnacentral:rRNA from 1 species
AACGCGAAGAACCUUACCUACCCUUGACAUGCUCGGAACCUGCUAGAGAUAGCGGGGUGCCUUCGGGAACCGAGACACAGGUGCUGCAUGGCUGUCGUCAGCUCGUGUCGUGAGAUGUUGGGUUAAGUCCCGUAACGAGCGCAACCCUUGUCCUUAGUUGCCAUCAGGUAAAGCUGGGAACUCUAGGGAGACUGCCGGUGACAAGCCGGAGGAAGGUGGGGAUGACGUCAAGUCCUCAUGGCCCUUACGGGUAGGGCUACACACGUGUUACAAUGGACGGUACAGAGGGAAGCGAAACCGCGAGGUGGAGCGGAUCUUUCAAAGCCGUUCGUAGUCCGGAUUGGAGUCUGCAACUCGACUCCAUGAAGUUGGAAUCGCUAGUAAUCGCGGAUCAGAACGCCGCGGUGAAUACGUUCCCGGGCCUUGUACACACCGACAUA